rnacentral:lncRNA from 1 species
AUGGUGCUUUGGGGGAAGCGGGUGGGCAGUAGAGGGAAGAAGCUUGUCACCAGCUUGCAGCAGCUCGCCGGCGCACUUGGGCUUUGGGAACACAGUUUUUGCAAAGUGCGUUCUUCUCUUGGCGUUUCUGCUAGCGUAUCCGCUUGUUUCUUCCACAGCCUGCCAUCAUCUCCGCAGCGGAGGAAAGGGAAGGCUGCUUUAGCGUCAUCCUACCUGGGGAAGGGGCGCACCGAGCAGGAGCUGCUCACAAGCUCCAUAGGGAGCUCUAAGAGGAGGACAGCUGCGUACGGCCCAGCAGUGACCCAGGCCCACGACGAGGCGCAAAGGUGUGCGCUCUGCUUCCGGAGCCGGGCUCCCUGCCGGCCGUCUGGGUUCGGGCACCAGGCUUUCGCUUACGCGCGAUGACGUCAAACACCCUCCUCAAGCCCCUCUCUUCUAAGGAUCAAAAAAUGCAUCACAGUUAUUGACGUAUUCUUUCCCCAAUGUGCGAAAUCAGUUUGUAUCUCCGUUUACAAAUGAAGAAAUGAAUGCGGAGAAGGGACUUUUUCCUGUCGCUGCAAAACAAUGACGUGUCCAGCGAUUUACCAAUGGUGCACAGGAAGUCGUACGAAAUCCAGUAACGGUGCUCGGCUCGUAGGAAACCCAGCCCUGCGCCUCAAUAUGUCUCAUGUAAAUAAUAAUACAUCCUAGGACUAAUCA